UUUUGGUAGGCUUGCCUGAGCGCCUUAAUUUUCACACAGCAUUGCUGUGGGUCCCUGUUGUGGCCUCUCUCCAUCAUGCCCUUUGAGAUUUUUUCAAAUAUUUUGGCAUUUC